CCCCUUUGAUCCUCUGUUUUGUUUCUUAAAUUCCACAUAUGAAGGCAGCCUGGGUUACUCAGCAGUUUAGUGCUGCCUUCAGCCCAGGGCAGGAUCCUGGAGAUCCAGGAUCCGGUCCCACGUCAGGCUCCCUGCAUGGAGCCUGCUUCUCCCUCUGCCUGUGUCUCUGCCUCUCUCUCUGCAUCUCUCUGUGUCUGUCAUGGAUAAAUAAAUAAAAUCUUUUAAAAAAAUUCCACAUAUGAGUGAGAUCAUAUUUUAAUUCUUUUUCUCUGAUUGACUUAUUUCAUUCAGCAUAAUAUCUUCUAGUUCCAUCCCUGUCAUUGCAAAUGGAAAGAUUUCAUUUUUUGAUGGCUGAGUAGUAUUCCAUUGUGUAUGUGUAUAUACAUAUAUACACACCAUAUCUUCUUUAUCUACUCAUCUGUUGAUGGACAUCUGUGCUCUUUCCAUAGUUUGACUAUUGUGGACAUUGUUGCUAUAAAUAUUGAGGUGCAGGUGUCCCUUCAGAUCACUACAUUUGUAUCUUUGGGGUAAAUACCCAGUAAUGCAAUUGCUGGUUCAUAGGAUAGCUCUAUUUUUAAAUUUUUGAGGAACCUCCAUACUGUUUUCCUGAGUGGCUGCACCAGCUUACAUUCCCAAGUCUGGUGUUUUAUAAUAGCAUAGAAUGGCUUUGACUGGCAAUGUAGGUAUUAAGUGAUUUUUGUUUCGCUUUCAUUUAAAAUUAGUGUACUGAAUUCUUGUUACAUGAAACACUAAAUUCUCUAUAUCUGUCAUUUAAAACAACUUUAAUUUGAUCCAGUAUUUUUUUUUCUGAAAGUAGACAUUAAAUCAGACAAUAAUUUGUAAUGGAAAUUGUGGGUUCAAUACGAGAAUUAGUGCCUUGCUAAAACUUUUGUUUCUUCAUUCCCCUCUUUAAAAUAGGUUUUGUUUUCUUACUAUUCUUGAAGGUUUAUUCAUAUUUUCUUAAACAUACACAGUGAGAUAAUACUUGAAAUAAUGUGAUGGUAUUUUUUAUUAGAAGUCAGUAAUGUUCACAUUAUUCAUAAGGCACAGGAUCAAAAGGGAAUAAUAUACAUCUUGUGAACAAGUAGACAUAUAAAUUAGUAACUACCAAAAGAACCUCAUGCUUCACUUGUGUUUGCUAGGUUAAACAUGUUUGAUGUUUAAGUGGUCCAUUUAGGAUUAGGAGUAUGUCUAUAAAUCAAGAGAAUACCAUUCAUUUUUUUAUGUUCAGCAAAUAUCUAAUUUGACAUCAUGAGAUCAAAAAGUAAAGUGAAUUUUUUAGAAUAAUUAGAGUAAUUCCAAUAGGCCAAAAGCAUUUUCCUUGUAAGCUCUCUAUACAGGAGAUACAGAUCUUUUUAAUUUAAAGAGUUAAUUAACUUUUUAAUCAUAGCUAAAGGGAAAGAUCAUGGCACUAGGGAUCAAUUUGCAAAUUCAAUAAUUUCUGUAUAUGGCCCUUUUGUUGUGUCACUACAAAUAUGCACAUAAUAUUUUGAUUGGCUGGGUUUAGUCACAAAAAGAGAAGUCAAAUUAACCUAAGUGAAAAACACAGAUCAGCUUUGUCUUUCACAAGCAAAGCUGCCUAAAAUAAAAGCUAACAGAUCAUUUCCAAAAUGUAACAUUUAUUGAAGUGCACACCCAAUAUCUUUGAGUACAUACCCGAAAGACGAUGACACAAGAAGGAAUGGAAUGUAAAAUGAGAGACAUGACAACAUGAUCCUAAAAGCUAACAGAGGAUGAAUUCAUUUUUAGUUAAAUAUUUCAGAGAAAAUUAGUCAUAUAUUUUCAGUUGUCUUAAAGGAUCAUUACAGAGAAUAGUGAUACUGGGCUAUGGUAGUAGUGGAAAUGGAGAAUAAGGGUGUGAUGGAAGGAAAUAAGCCUUGUUUAGAUGCCAUAUAGAAUCUUGAGAGUGAUGAGAGCUAAUAUAGGAAAAGUAGGUUGAAUGUCCAUUAUGGGUGAUUUUUUAUAUAUCUAUAUAUGAGUACAGAUAUGUAUGUGUAUCUAUCUAUAUCUAUACCUACAUCUACUGAGCUGAAAUAUCUUUCCAUAUAAUGCUCAAAAUAUAAUCAUGAAGGCUUAUGAACACAGAUGUAAGAAUAUCCUGGGUUUCUUUUUUUCCAGAGCAAAAUUGCAUUCAUGACUUAUGCAUGUCAAUGCUAUGACAGAGAAUUAAUUGGCACCAAUGAAAUGAGGCAUUGUGUCUUGGCAUUCAGACUCCUCAUAUAAACAUCUUCCAUUAAAAAGUUCAGUUCAAGAGACGCUCCUCCAUAAUACCUUUAUUUACUCUAAUGUAUUAAAAACAUGUGGGGCCAGAAUAGGGCUUGCAAAUGUAUCUAACUCCUCCCCCAAGAAAACUCAUGCUGAAGGGUAUAGGCCUGUGUGAUGAUUAACUAUUUCUCAGGCCUUAGGAAGUGCUUAAAAACCAUUGUUUACUCACUGGGCAUCCAGGACCAUGGAUGUCUGUGGCAUUUCCCUUCACCCCAGGGAUUCUCAGAUCUUGGUCUAAGAAUUGUUCAUAAAAUGAUGUCAUAAUGAAUGCACUGAUGAAGCACUGUCAGCUGCUGCUUGCAAAGAUAGGACAAAAUCACAGCACUGUCUAAUGCUUUCCUGCAUUCUCAGAGUCAGUUGUGAAUAGUCUCUAUCAGCCAGAUGUGAACUUAAUCCACUGUAGUCAGCUAACUUUGGGAUGACUCUACACCUACGUUGCUGACCAUAAUUAUUUCCUGCUGUAGGAACACUACUCUCACUGCAUGUGAACCUUGUUUGGAUUUCCUGUAUUGGCUGCCAUGUCAGGUUAUAAAACAGUUUUUUUUUAAAGUAUGAAAUCUGUAAGAGCUCUAUAAAAGUAAGAUGUUAAUUAGCAUUCCCCAAAUCCUUGUUCUACUGAUGUUUAUCUAGAGAAAGAUUUCUUUUUCAGUAUUUAUAAAAUAGUAUUUAAGGUCUCCAUUAUAGGUGAAAGAAGCUGAUUCCCAUGGACAAUCUAAUUUAGCUAUAAACCACAUGACUAACCACAUCCAUCCCACUUCAUUUAGCACAAACAUGGAAGGUAAGAAAAGGUCUACUCCAAGCAACAAUAAGCAGAUGGUGCUUGCUUCCAAAGUUUCUUCCAUCCUUUCUGAAUAUUGCUCCCAUUCCUCCUCCCUCAACAAUCAAGUGGCAUGGGGGAUAUAUAACAAACAGAGAUUUUUUCUUUGGCUCAAAAAAAAUUCUUUAUCUUGUCAAGAAAUUUACACUUACUAUGGGAAAAUGCUUUUUGACACUUAAGAGUUCUACCUAAAGAUUCAUUAAAGUUUCACUUCACUGAAGUAACUUGGUGUAUCCCAUUACAAAUCUAGGUCAAAGUAAACCAUGAUUCUGGCUACAUGUCUGAUGGCCAAUGGCUAAAUAAGCCAUUUUGACCUGAAAUAAAUUCUUCUGUGCUGCUUCUCACUCCAAAACAGUGGUUUACAAACUUCUCUUCUCAGUGACACACCAAGCAACAACAUUUAUGUGUUCAAUUUACUCUCAUGGGCACAUCAUCCACAAACUUUAUUUCGUCAAGUGCUUUGGUGAUUCAGAAUCUCCACAGUUUUUAAUGACCCUCUAGUCAGGGGCUGAGGGAUGUACAAUUUCUGAGUUAGCUACAGCUCUAUUCUCUCCUGCAAAGUAUACCAGAAUGCAGGCAAGUGAGACACCACGACACAAAUAAGCUUUAAAGCAUUCUAAUUUAUAUUAUAAAAACUAACUCAUUUACAAACUCAGUAUUCUAAGACUUCUCCAAAUCAAAUGAUUUUAUGACACUUAAUCCAUACAAUUCAGUGCCAGGACGGGAAGUUGAAAUGUGCUGCUCUAAAAGAGGAUGUCAACCAGUUCUGGGGCAGCAUGUGAACCCUAGUAGUGGCAGUAUUAGGCUUGCAGUUAGAAUCCUAGUUACUAAGAACUUCAGGCACUGUGAUGAAAGUGCUGGUUUCAUUGGCACACUUUGUUCAAUCUCUACUGAAAUAUCUGUGUACAGGAUGGAGAAAUAACACAGGAGAACUAUUAGAAUUCCAUUUAGGUCUAAUAAUAGUGUAAUAUAGAUACAAGUUUGUUAGAAACAACAAAGAUGGAAGGAAAUUAGAAUAGUGAUUCAGCUUGAGGUAAAGAGUACCAUAUCUGGCUCCUGAGCCAUUUUCUCUUAAUUCUGGUGCAUCACAAAUGCCAGUAAGAAGCUGAGAAGAUCAGUUAGUUGUACAAAUAAAUGGGUCAUUGACCAGGAAGAAAUGGUUGAUGGUCCCUGGAGAUAUAUGGGCUUUGGGACUCCAGAAAUUCUUUUGACUUGAACGUAAUUUGUACUCUCUCCCCCUAUUCCCUCAUUUCCCUUGAUCACUUCAGAUCUAAAGACUAAUUACAUUAUGAUUUUUGGGUGAAUUAGUGCCACUGUGGAAUUUAAUGAUGGGGACUGGGCUUUGCAAGCUACUUCUUUCUCUGCAGCAACUCCUGUAAAAAAGCUGAUCAAGGGGUACCUGGGUGGCUCAGUGGUUGAGCAUCUCCCUUUGGCUCAGGUCGUGAUCCCAGGAUCCUGGGAUCAAGUCCCAUAGUGAGCCUGCUUCUCCCUCUGCCUGUGUCUCUCCCUCUCUCUGUGUGCCUCUCAUGAAUAAAUAAAUACAAUCUUUUUAAAAAGCUGAUAGAAGAAUAUAAAUGGAUGGGACCCCAGUUCCAGUCAUCUAAUCCUGUGAAGUACAGAAACACUUUUUCACACCCUUACUUCAUAACAACACAUAGAUUCUCAGAGACAUAUUUCCUCUGAGCAGCUACAACAAAACUUCUCUCUACAACUGCACAAUCACACAUAUUUCUGCAACAGUGGCCUGUCCCAACAUAUGAAACAAAUGCCAGCAAAGUUUAUGUUAGUUUAAAUAUUGUAAUUUCAAUACAGUGUCUGACAAACUGAAUUUAUUGAAGAGACUUGUCUAGGAUAAAAAUGCAAUUGGUUGUCAUAGCCACACAUAUUUUUUGUGUGUUUUCUGAGUCUGUUUGUGGAAUCUAACUACAAAUAACUCUUUGUCCCAUUUGAAUGAGAACACACUGGAAUGGCCGCCUGAAAAUGUAAUAAUCUUGUCUUAAUAUCAAUUUUCUCAAGACUCAGUUAAAACAAACAAGAAAAGCCUUUUCCUGUAUCUCAACCAAGUCUGAUAAGCAUCUAGGGCUAUUUCUUUAUAAAAUUUUCACAAAACACACUCCCACACUCCAAAAUGCUCUCAUGAAACCAAAUAAUUGCUACCAUUUUCCUCUUUCUAUUGUUAUAUUAAUACACACACAGACACAUAUGCAGUCUUGCACACACAUACACACACACAUACAUCUGCACAUUGUCUGGAGGUAUUUGCUAUACAAACACCUCAACAUCCUCACUUUUCUUUAUCUUGGGCUUGGGUAUGCAACAUUUUUCAGACUUUUCAAUAAUAUGCUAAUAGCAAAUUAGGCUUUUAUGUGAUCUAUGGAUUAUGUUCUUCCAGGAACUGCCAAUUUUACUCUAAUAUGAUUCCAGUAUGCUGAGAGAGUUAUUCAAGCUAGAAUGUGCUGAAGAGAUGAAUGUGGCUUCCAUGCAGGGCAUAUUUCAACUUUUCCCAAAUAACAUUCUUGUAGAGAUUAGAGGAUAGUCUGGCAGCCAGACCCAGCCAAUUAAAACAGUAAUUGAAAUGGUUGAAAAUGUUUUCCUUGGCAAAAUCUGGUUAUUUUGCUUCAUUUUGGGUUUCCUUGAAUAACAACAACAACAAAAUAGGGUCAAUCAUAAGACUGCUAAUUUAUUUUCUUGGUUAUCUUUUCUCAUCAAACAAAGAAGGGCUGCUGUGUAGCCAAAAUGAAGACUUGAACACUGCAGUAUGGAUUAUAUGAGAGUACACAGAGCAAUUCUUAAGCUAACAACAGUAAAUCUCUUCUCGGCAGAGAAUAUGUGGGAAUUUCUGUUGUGGGUGAAAGGGGUAAAAUGAGGAGGGGGGUUCAGUAGGAAAUAAAAAUACAGAAGAGGCAUCCUUGGAAAAUGUAGGUUUACUUUCUCCCAGAUCAAUAGAUACUUAAACAUUGAGAUUUCUAAUUCAAAGAUAACUGAAUUAAAGAAUUAAAAAAUCAAUUUAUGUGCCUUACUUCUCUUCUGCUGGAAUCAGUUGUGUGCCACUAAAUGUUUAAUCGUCAUCUGGGAUCCGAGAGCAUCUGAUUUUUUAGCAUUAGCCAAUGUCCAUGAUGUAAACACUUUUUUUGUGUGUGGCUAAUUUCAAUAUACCAACCCGACAUUCCUGAAUAUAAGAGCUGGAACGCAACAUGCACAGUCAACUUUUGCAAGCCACCGUAAGCCGCUCCAGCACAUCACUGAGUGAAGUCAUAGUUUUACAAAGAAGACAGAUAUGAAAAUGCAAUCUAGACUGACAUUGGAUAAAAAUACCGAUAAAGGAAAUUAGUAGGCAAAAAUUAUCAUCUUACAAAUCAAUCAAAGUUUUGCUGGUUGAAAUUGUAAAACAUAUUUGGAUAUGAGAAAAUCCAAAUCAUAGCAUUGAUUUUAAAAGAAAAACACUUUCUUAUGUCAAUCCACCCUUCUUCCCUUUCAAACCCUACUUGUAAGCUCAAAUCCUCUAAAGAAGUCUGAAAAUAGGUGGUGUAUCCAUUUUAGCAUCCUCUUUGAAUUAAAACCAUUUCAAAAUGCCAUGUACUAGCUGGGCAAACCCCACACACAGUAGAAUCAUGUGGGGAGCUUCCAUGAAGUACUCAUUCCUUGAUCCUACCCAGGAUCAACUAAAUUAGAAGGCUUUUUUGAGGGUGUCAUGAGGUCAUUAUCUCGGGGUCCUAGUAUUGAACCUUGUAUCCAGGCUCCAGGUUCAGCCAGCAGUCUGCUUUUCCCUCUGCCCCUCCCCCUGCUCAUGGUCUCUCUCUCUCUCUCUCUAAUGAAUUCACAAAAUCUUAAAAAAAAAAAAAAAA
rnacentral:lncRNA from 1 species